rnacentral:rRNA from 1 species
GACGAACGCUGGCGGCGUGCUUAACACAUGCAAGUCGAACGGAAAGGCCCUUCGGGGUACUCGAGUGGCGAACGGGUGAGUAACACGUGGGUGAUCUGCCCUGCACUUCGGGAUAAGCCUGGGAAACUGGGUCUAAUACCGGAUAUGAUCAUCGGCUUCAUGGUCGGUGGUGGAAAGCUUUUGCGGUGUGGGAUGGGCCCGCGGCCUAUCAGCUUGUUGGUGGGGUAAUGGCCUACCAAGGCGUCGACGGGUAGCCGGCCUGAGAGGGUGUCCGGCCACACUGGGACUGAGAUACGGCCCAGACUCCUACGGGAGGCAGCAGUGGGGAAUAUUGCACAAUGGGCGCAAGCCUGAUGCAGCGACGCCGCGUGGGGGAUGACGGCCUUCGGGUUGUAAACCUCUUUCAGCACAGACGAAGCGCAAGUGACGGUAUGUGCAGAAGAAGCACCGGCCAACUACGUGCCAGCCGCCGCGGUAACAC